UAAUACCGGAUAGAUCAAAGAUACUGGAAUGUUCCUUGAUCCAAAGCUCCGGCGUCCAAGGAUGGAUCUGCGGCUUAUCAGGUAGUAGUGGGUGUAACGUACCUACUAGCCUACGACGAGUACGGGUUGUGAGAGCAAGAUCCCUGAGAUGGAUUCUGAGACAUGAAUCCAGGCCCUACGGGGUGCAGCAGGCGCGAAAACUUUACACUGCGGGAAACCGCGAUAAGGGGACCCCGAGUGCCAGCACCUAGUGCUGGCUGUCCAGCUGUCCAAAUAACAGUUGUUAGCAAGGGCCGGGCAAGACCGGUGCCAGCCGCCGCGGUAACACCGGCGGCCCGAGUGGUAGCCGCUAUUAUUGGGUUUAAAGGGUCCGUAGCCGGCCUAUUAAGUCUCUUGGGAAAUCUGGCGGCUUAAUCGUCAGGCGUUC
rnacentral:rRNA from 1 species